rnacentral:lncRNA from 1 species
GCGUUCGUUCUGCACUUCGACAUAGCACUACUGCACUAUUGGACUACGGCAAGCUGACGUGGUCCGGUGGUGCUUCGUACAGGAACUACUGCUGCUUACCUGGUGCCGCAACGUUGGAUGAAUGCACAAAAAU